rnacentral:rRNA from 1 species
GUGGCAGCCGCCGCGGUAAAACCAGCACCUCAAGUGGUCAGGAUGAUUAUUGGGCCUAAAGCAUCCGUAGUCGGCUAUGUUAGUUUUCGGUUAAAUCCAUGUGCUCAACACAUGGGCUGUCGAGAAUACUGUAUAGCUAGGGAGUGGGAGAGGUAGACGGUACUCGGUAGGAAGGGGUAAAAUCCUUUGAUCUAUUGAUGACCACCAGUGGCGAAGGCGGUCUACCAGAACACGUCCGACGGUGAGGGAUGAAAGCUGGGGGAGCAAACCGGAUUAGAUACCCGGGUAGUCCCAGCUGUAAACUAUGCAAACUCAGUGAUGCAUUGGCUUGUGGCCAGUGCAGUGCCGCAGAGAAGUCGUUAAGUUUGCCGCCUGGGAAGUACGUACGCAAGUAUGAAACUUAAAGGAAUUGGCGGGGGAGCACCACAAGGGGUGAAGCCUGCGGUUCAAUUGGAGUCAACGCCAGAAAUCUUACCCGGAGAGACAGCAGAAUGAAGGUCAAGCUGAAGACUUUACCAGACAAGCUGAGAAGUGGUGCAUGGCCGUCGCCAGCUCGUGCCGUGAGGUGUCCUGUUAAGUCAGGUAACGAGCGAGAUCCUUGCCUCUAGUUGCCACCAUUACUCUCAGGAGUAGUGGGGCGAAUUAGCGGGACUGCCGCAGUUAAUGCGGAGGAAGGAGGGGGCCACGGCAGGUCAGUAUGCCCUGAAACUCUGGGGCCACACGCGGGCUGCAAUGGUAGUUACAGUGAGUUCCGAAUCCGAAAGGAGGAGGUAAUCUUCAAAUGCUACCACAGUUAUGAUUGAGGGCUGCAACUCGCCCUCAUGAAUAUGGAAUCCCUAGUAACUGCGUGUCAUUACCGCGCGGUGAAUACGUCCCUGCUCCUUGCACACACCGCCCGUC